GUGAGCCGUAUGAUGGGCAACUAUCUCCUGCGGUUCGGAGAGGACUCAGCAGCUCAAUUACGCAAUUAAAUCGCCCCUUGCUUUCUCAAUGGUUUCGACCCUUUCACUCUAU
rnacentral:ncRNA from 1 species